GGAUUGUGGCUCAGUGUUAGAGCGCUCGCCUACCAUAUGCAAGGCCCUGGGUUCGAUCCUCAGCACCA
rnacentral:tRNA from 1 species